rnacentral:lncRNA from 1 species
UUCUAAAACCAAUGGGAACGCUACAAUACUGAAAACCUCGAGCUCUCAAUAUUCAUUUGGGUGUUGUUAAUAGUUGUUUCCGGAGCACGAGUAAGGAUGUUUUAUAUCAACUUAUCAUGUCACUUUGACCCCCUCGAGAGUUUUUGGCUUGACGAUAUAAAUUCGUGUUAGUCGGGUCGCGUAUAAUACGUUAUGAUUGUACGAUAUAAAUUCAUUUUACGUUACGUUUUGAUCAGAUCGCAAUACAACUAUAGGAUACAUUGAGUUCAAUCGAAUACAUCAAAACGUGCGUUUUCAUAUGGUUAAAACAUCACAUAACGCUUGAAAUAAUCCGUUCGAUAUUUGCGAAAUACCCGCGCCGCAACGCGCGCGAUUCUUAUUACUAGUUUUAACAUAAAGCAACAUGUGAAGCAUACAGCUGGCAAGAAUAUUAGCAUAAAAAUUUAUUCCUUCGUAG